rnacentral:rRNA from 1 species
UUUUUAUAUCUUAUAAAUUAUUAAAUUUCUAUGAGAUAUUUAGUUGGGGUGACUAAAAAAUUUAUAUAAUUUUUUUAUUGUGUUUACAUUAAUUUAUGGAUUAUUAUUCUAAUAAUAUUAAUUUUAAUUUAAAU